rnacentral:rRNA from 1 species
GAUGAACGCUAGCUACAGGCUUAACACAUGCAAGUCGAGGGGCAGCACAGUGUAGCAAUACAUGGGUGGCGACCGGCGCACGGGUGCGUAACGCGUAUCCAACCUUCCCGAUACUCAGGGAUAGCCUUCCGAAAGGGAGAUUAAUACCUGAUGGUGUUCAAAUUCCGCAUGUUAUUUGAACUAAAGAUUUAUCGGUAUCGGAUGGGGAUGCGUGACAUUAGAUAGUAGGCGGGGUAACGGCCCACCUAGUCUACGAUGUCUAGGGGUUCUGAGAGGAAGGUCCCCCACACUGGAACUGAGACACGGUCCAGACUCCUACGGGAGGCAGCAGUGAGGAAUAUUGGUCAAUGGUCGGAAGACUGAACCAGCCAAGUAGCGUGAAGGAUGAAGGUUCUAUGGAUUGUAAACUUCUUUUAUACGGGAAUAAAACCACCUACGUGUAGGUGCUUGUAUGUACCGUAUGAAUAAGCAUCGGCUAACUCCGUG